AUGUCCUUAGCUCUGUACAGUGCUGCUCACUGGAGUGAAAGAUGUUCAGCGCAUCAAGAAAGGAUUGUUGAGUCCAUUGCAUUCUGCCCACAGAAUAUUAUAAAUGUGCAACUGAGCAACAAACAUCUGGAAAACUCUUCUGAGCCUUUAUGGCUUAGAAGGAACGUACAAGGAUUCAAAUGCUGUCCCAUGGGGAGAAGGAAAGGAAACAAACUGCAGCUCCAGAUAAAACCAAAACAAAACAAAAAACGGAGAUCCUCACGAGUGCGGAGGGGGCAGUUUUGUGACAAAAGGCCUUGUGCUGAGCUUAGGUUGGUACCCAAUAAAUUAUAGAAAAGAAAACCAAA
rnacentral:lncRNA from 1 species